rnacentral:rRNA from 1 species
GAUGAACGCUGGCGGCGUGCCUAAUACAUGCAAGUCGAGCGAACAGAUGAGGAGCUUGCUCCUCUGACGUUAGCGGCGGACGGGUGAGUAACACGUGGAUAACCUACCUAUAAGACUGGGAUAACUUCGGGAAACCGGAGCUAAUACCGGAUAAUAUAUUGAACCGCAUGGUUCAAUAGUGAAAGACGGUUUUGCUGUCACUUAUAGAUGGAUCCGCGCCGCAUUAGCUAGUUGGUAAGGUAACGGCUUACCAAGGCAACGAUGCGUAGCCGACCUGAGAGGGUGAUCGGCCACACUGGAACUGAGACGCGGUCCAGACUCCUACGGGAGGCAGCAGUGGGGAAUCUUCCGCAAUGGGCGAAAGCCUGACGGAGCAACGCCGCGUGAGUGAUGAAGGUCUUCGGAUCGUAAAACUCUGUUAUUAGGGAAGAACAAAUGUGUAAGUAACUAUGCACGUCUUGACGGUACCUAAUCAGAAAGCCACGGCUAACUACGUG